UGUUUCUGUGAUGACAAUUUGGCUCCCUCUACUGAAAUUUUAAUGAGGAAAAUUGCCAUCGUUACCCAUUCUUGUCUGAGAUUCA
rnacentral:snoRNA from 1 species